rnacentral:rRNA from 1 species
UGGGGAAUCUUGCGCAAUGGGCGAAAGCCUGACGCAGCGACGCCGCGUGGGGGAAGAAGGCCUUCGGGUUGUAAACCUCUUUCAGGAGGGACGAAGCUACUCGGGUGAAUAGCCCAGAGGGUGACGGUACCUUCAGAAGAAGCCCCGGCUAACUACGUGCCAGCAGCCGCGGUAAUACGUAGGGGGCAAGCGUUGUCCGGAUUUAUUGGGCGUAAAGAGCGUGUAGGCGGCCACACAGGUCCGUUGUGAAAACUGGAGGCUUAACCUUCAGACGUCGAUGGAAACCGUGCGGCUAGAGUCCGGAAGAGGAGAGCGGAAUUCCUGGUGUAGCGGUGAAAUGCGCAGAUAUCAGGAAGAACACCCGUGGCGAAGGCGGCUCUCUGGGACGGUACUGACGCUGAGACGCGAAAGCGUGGGGAGCGAACAGGAUUAGAUACCCCGGUAGUCC